CCUACUUCCGCAAUGACGAGAUCUGCAAGGAUUACUGUCGGAGCGUGCGUGGAUACAGGGCUGCACGUUCCAGCACCAUCCAGUGGUUCUGUGAUUGUGACGGUGAUCCACCCGGCUACAGCCCGGGCUCCUGCCCACCCAGCUUCUUGGAUUGGCUGACGAACCAUGCUGUCCCGGGCACCAACAGCAUUGCCAAGAUCAUCUGCGAGGACCUGUGGCUCAAUCCCCUGCUGUACUAUCCCAGGGAGGAUGUCAGCUUCACGGGAACCGUGCCAGAAGUGGGGUCUGUGCAGGAGGUGGAGCAAGAUGAGGAGGAGGAGGAGGAGGAGGAGGAAGAAGAAGACAACUGAAAUUCCCAGUGGCCCACACAGAGAAUGAGACGUCCCUCAUUGCCAGCCUGUGGGCGUGCCUGGUUUCUGACGGUGGUGCCCCUUCACACCCCUCAGUCCCCACCCCUGGGAAAUGGGGAAGGGCCUGCUGUCUCCACAGCCACUGGGAACACACUGUGUGAGUGUAAA